UAUAUACCCCUCCGUCCCAUAUUAAAUGUCAAAAUAUUACAUGUAUCUAGAUGUUUUUUAGUUAUAGAUACAUCUAUGUUUAAGAAAAUUUGAGACAUGUAAUAUGGGACGGAGGGAGUGUGCA
rnacentral:pre_miRNA from 1 species